GAUGAACGCUGGCGGCGUGCUUAACACAUGCAAGUCGAACGAAGCACUUAAACCUGAUUCUUCGGAUGAAGGUUUUUGUGACUGAGUGGCGGACGGGUGAGUAACGCGUGGGUAACCUGCCUCAUACAGGGGGAUAACAGUUAGAAAUGACUGCUAAUACCGCAUAAGACCACAGAGCCGCAUGGCUCAGUGGGAAAAACUCCGGUGGUAUGAGAUGGACCCGCGUCUGAUUAGGUAGUUGGUGGGGUAACGGCCUACCAAGCCAACGAUCAGUAGCCGACCUGAGAGGGUGACCGGCCACAUUGGGACUGAGACACGGCCCAAACUCCUACGGGAGGCAGCAGUGGGGAAUAUUGCACAAUGGGGGAAACCCUGAUGCAGCGACGCUGCGUGAGCGAAGAAGUAUUUCGGUAUGUAAAGCUCUAUCAGCAGGGAAGAAAAUGACGGUACCUGACUAAGAAGCACCGGCUAAAUACGUGCCAGCCGCCGCCGUAAUAC
rnacentral:rRNA from 1 species